UAUCUAUUUCGGCACUUGUAUCUGUAUCCACAAAUUAUAGGCUAACAGUUCUUUUUUUCAGGAUUCAAGUCAUCUGUUUUACUGUGGCAAAACUUCAUUUGUUUAUAAUUUUUAUGACCUUGCUAUAGUUGGUUUUCAGGUUCAAGCCGUCGCAUGGAAUCAUCAUGUGCCACAAGUUCUACUUAGUGGAUCCUUUGAUCAUACAGUAGUGAUGAAGGAUGGAAGGAUACCUUCUCAUACAGGAUUUAAGUGGUCAGUUUCAGCAGAUGUUGAAACUGUAGCAUGGGAUCCACACACUGAGCAUCCAUUUGUGGUCUGUGUUUACACUGUAUCUAUCUUGAGCUAUUUUCAUUUUUUGUUUUCCAAGUAUGCAAAGCACAAGGGAUUUCAUUUUGAAUUGGGAAGACAUCGAGAGUGGCAAUACACAAAUUAUGUCUAUAGAUACCAGUAACCAUAAAAAUACUGGAAAUUUAUUUACUUUUUCGUUUGAUAGAACCUAAAGGUGCAUCUUUAGCUCGAUCUUCUUGCACUACAAAAUAUUAUGUGGGUCGGUUGAAUGAGUUAUUGAUAAAUUAACUUUUUGAUUGUGAAAAGGGGACAAGUGCUUAGUUAAUGUUCAUUUUCACUCAUUUGAUUAGGUAGCCACUAACUGGUCAUUUUUGUGUUGUAAACUGUAAGAUGUGUCCAUAUUAUUGUUUCUUGCAUUGUUUUGGUGGCAUUUCGAGUUGCUUUUUAGGUUAUUUCUAGGUGGAGAAGUGGGAUGUCAUGGCAUAUAGGUCAAUAUUAAGCUGUGUUGGGCCAAGCCAUGCCAUAAGCAAUACCUAUUUUGGAAUCUUGUUCUUUGAGCUAGAAUUUUUUGUUGGUUACCCUGCCAAUUUUAAUAAAUAUAAAUGUCUGCAAAGUAGGUAGUAAUUUUUGGCAUAGAAGAAGCUUUUGUGCGACUUGAUUUAAUGUUGGUUGGUGUUUCAAGUACUUGGUUUAUUCUUUUCAUUUUUUAAUGUUGUUAUGUGCUUUCUUAUGGAAGUCACUGAGCAGACUUUCACUUUGAGUUAUCCUAUAUUGAGGCAAAUGUUGCCAAAUUUCCUAGGUCAGUGUAUUUGAAUUUAAUGUUUAUUCCUAGAUAUACUCUACACUACACAGUUGAUUGAGUGGUGGUCCUAACGAUUUGGAAAAAUCAUGUUGAUUGUUAGCUGACAUGUUAAUUUGCACUUUCUUUCUUUGUUUGGGCCUAUAAACGAAAGACUGGCUGGAUGAUGGGUCUGUUGCUGUUAUUUUUAUUGUGUAUCAUUAGUGGUGGUAAUAAGCUUUCUGAAUACUAAAUAGUAACAUCAAUUAAUGCUCCUGUUUGACUUUUGUUCUACUGUUUGCAGUGUUGGACCAAUGGUAGGAUAGAGUAUGAGAUGGAUAUGGUUGAGUCUGCGGUUAAAUCACUCAGGUCAUUGAUGCCUGCAAAGUAAAGGCAUGAAAGGCGAGCUGCUUUUGCACUCUGCCGAACCGAUGUAGUUGCAGAGACUGUCAAAAACCAUGAACUUGAGAUUUCCACUCUUGCCGCUUUAUCAUCUCUAAAGGU